CGCGGCCUAUCAGCUUGUUGGUGAGGUAAUGGCUCACCAAGGCGACGACGGGUAGCCGGCCUGAGAGGGCGACCGGCCACACUGGGACUGAGACACGGCCCAGACUCCUACGGGAGGCAGCAGUGGGGAAUAUUGCACAAUGGGCGAAAGCCUGAUGCAGCGACGCCGCGUGAGGGAUGACGGCCUUCGGGUUGUAAACCUCUUUCAGCAGGGAAGAAGCGAAAGUGACGGUACCUGCAGAAGAAGCGCCGGCUAACUACGUGCCAGCAGCCGCGGUAAUACGUAGGGCGCAAGCGUUGUCCGGAAUUAUUGGGCGUAAAGAGCUCGUAGGCGGUCUGUCGCGUCGGAUGUGAAAGCCCGGGGCUUAACCCCGGGUCUGCAUUCGAUACGGGCAGACUAGAGUGUGGUAGGGGAGAUCGGAAUUCCUGGUGUAGCGGUGAAAUGCGCAGAUAUCAGGAGGAACACCGGUGGCGAAGGCGGAUCUCUGGGCCAUUACUGACGCUGAGGAGCGAAAGCGUGGGGAGCGAACAGGAUUAGAUACCCUGGUAGUCCACGCCGUAAACGGUGGGAACUAGGUGUUGGCGACAUUCCACGUCGUCGGUGCCGCAGCUAACGCAUUAAGUUCCCCGCC
rnacentral:rRNA from 1 species